GGAGGAUCCAGCCUGACAAUGAAGCUGACAUAGCAAAGGCUCUGCAAACUUUCUCACAUGCUGAAAGCUAAGUUCACACAUAGAGGAAACAACUGAUACAAGUCUUAAACUUUACCAUGUCAGAGAGACCAGAUUCCUUAAUGUUGUGU
rnacentral:lncRNA from 12 species